rnacentral:rRNA from 1 species
AGAUUGAACGCUGGCGGCAUGCCUAACACAUGCAAGUCGAACGGGAGUAGCAAUACUCUAGUGGCGGACGGGUGAGGAGUACGUAGGAAUUUGCCCUUAAGUGGGGGAUAACCCGGGGAAACCCGGAUUAAUACCGCAUGACCUCGAAAGAGCAAAGUGGGGGAUCGCAAGACCUCACGCUUUUGGAGAAGCCUACGUCGGAUUAGCUAGCUGGUGAGGUAAUGGCUCACCAAGGCGACGAUCCGUAACUGGUCUGAGAGGAUGAUCAGUCACACCGGAACUGAGACACGGUCCGGACUCCGUACGGGAGGCAGCAGUGGGAAUAUUGGACAAGUGGGCGCAAGCCUGAUCCAGCAAGUGCCGCGUGUGUGAAGAGGCCUUCGGGUGUAAGCUACUUUAAGGUAGGUAAAGAAAAACGUACGACGUACUAACACAGUAG